AUUGAACGCUGGCGGCAUGCCUUACACAUGCAAGUCGAACGGCAGCACGGGGCAACCUGGUGGCGAGUGGCGAACGGGUGAGUAUGCAUCGGAACGUACCUUUCAGUGGGGGAUAACGUAGCGAAAGUUACGCUAAUACCGCAUAUUCUGUGAGCAGGAAAGCAGGGGAUCGCAAGACCUUGCGCUGAUUGAGCGGCCGAUGUCAGAUUAGCUAGUUGGUGAGGUAAAGGCUCACCAAGGCGACGAUCUGUAGCGGGUCUGAGAGGAUGAUCCGCCACACUGGAACUGAGACACGGUCCAGACUCCUACGGGAAGCAGCAGUGGGGAAUUUUGGACAAUGGGGGCAACCCUGAUCCAGCCAUGCCGCGUGAGUGAAGAAGGCCUUCGGGUUGUAAAGCUCUUUCGGCCGGGAAGAAAUCGCACGGGCUAAUACCCUGUGUGGAUGACGGUACCGGAAUAAGAAGCACCGGCUAACUACGUGCCAGCAGCCGCAGUAAGAC
rnacentral:rRNA from 1 species